GUUUGAUCAUGGCUCAGAUUGAACGCUGGCGGCAGGCUUAACACAUGCAAGUCGAACGAACUCUUCGGAGUUAGUGGCAGACGGGUGAGUAACGCGUGGGAAUAUACCUUUCGGUACGGAACAACAGUUGGAAACGACUGCUAAUACCGUAUGCGCCCUAUGGGGGAAAGAUUUAUCGCCGAAGGAUUAGCCCGCGUUGGAUUAGCUAGUUGGUGGGGUAAAGGCCUACCAAGGCGACGAUCCGUAGCUGGUCUGAGAGGAUGAUCAGCCACACUGGGACUGAGACACGGCCCAGAC
rnacentral:rRNA from 1 species